AACGAACGCUGGCGGCAUGCCUAACACAUGCAAGUCGAACGAGACCUUCGGGUCUAGUGGCGCACGGGUGCGUAACGCGUGGGAACCUGCCCUUAGGUUCGGAAUAACUCCCCGAAAGGGGUGCUAGUACCGGAUAAUGUCUUCGGACCAAAGAUUUAUCGCCUUUGGAUGGGCCCGCGUUGGAUUAGCUAGUUGGUAGGGUAAAAGCCUACCAAGGCGACGAUCCAUAGCUGGUCUGAGAGGAUAAUCAGCCACACUGGGACUGAGACACGGCCCAGACUCCUACGGGAGGCAGCAGUGGGGAAUAUUGGACAAUGGGCGAAAGCCUGAUCCAGCAAUGCCGCGUGAGUGAUGAAGGCCUUAGGGUUGUAAAGCUCUUUUACCCGGGAUGAUAAUGACAGUACCGGGAGAAUAAGCUCCGGCUAACUCCGUG
rnacentral:rRNA from 1 species